GCGCGGCAUUGGAUUGAUUAUGUUUAGUUUGAUAGCAAUAACUUAAAUUUGAAGAUAAUUAGAAUGUCUAAGUUUGAAGAUAAUUAGAUAAUUGAAGAUAAAUAAUGUCUACGCUUGUAGAUAAAUAAUAUCUAAGUUUGAUCUUAGAAUAUCUUUACCUCAUAUAACUUGAAAACCACUUGUGAUAUUUUUGAAAAGUACUUGAGAUUAAAGAGCAUACAAACUGUAAAAAUGUUGAUUUGUUGAUAAAAGAUUUAACUAAAGUUAGUAAAAGGUGUAGUAAAAGAAAAAUGGAUUUAAUACUGUUUUGCCUCUGAAUUUUAUCCUGAUUAUCGAAGUUCAAACUCCUUACAGAAUAAUCCAUAAUAUGAUUAAUCAUUUGCAUAGCUGGUUGGAGUAAUACAGAAAAAACAAUUGGUGAAAAUCAGUUUAAAGAAAAAGAAAAAUCAAUAAAGAAUACAAACAAUAUUUCUUUAAAUUACCAAAGCUUUACAAAAUUGUUGUUUACCAAUCAAAUUCUUCGCCUCUCAAAUGUCUAUAUAUCCGAUCAAGCUUUUCAGCUCUAUCGUUUCCUAACCUAUUUCUUAACUUGCUCCACACAAUACCAAAAGUAGAAAACACUCUUUCUAUGGAGCCAGUGCUUGCAGGACAACUAUGAAGAGAUUGAAAAAACUUUGCAAACCCUUCUGGUAGUGGUAAAGACUUUUAAUGCAGCUUUUGCUUCAUAUCUAUUAUACCCCACCAUCUUUCACUUGAAAUUGUAGCAAUAAAGUUAUCGUUAAACAUGUGCUGUGAAAAGGUAGUUGUGACUUUUAGCCUGAAAUCAUAGUAACCAGCCAAGUAUUUAUUGUGCCUAUCACUUAGCCAAGCUUCUGCAGCAGCUUCUUGUUCAAUGCUUAAAGAUUUUCCUAAAAUUAAAGAAUACUAUUUUUUUGUUUUAUAUUUUAUAAAUGAGAAAUAAAUAUCCUAUAUGAA